rnacentral:rRNA from 1 species
UACGGGGGGGGUAAGCGUUGUUCGGAAUUACUGGGCGUAAAGGGCUCGUAGGCGGCCAACUAAGUCGAACGUGAAAUCCCCGAGCUCAACUCGGGAACUGCGUCCGAUACUGGCGGGCUUGAAUCCGGGAGAGGGAUGCGGAAUUCCAGGUGUAGCGGUGAAAUGCGUAGAUAUCUGGAGGAACACCGGUGGCGAAGGCGGCAUCCUGGACCGGCAUUGACGCUGAGGCGCGAAAGCGUGGGGAGCAAACAGG